CAGAAAAUAGUUUAUAAAAAAUAUUAAUUUUGGAGAUUAAUGAAGAAAAUAUUUUUUUCUUUUCUGA
rnacentral:tRNA from 1 species